GUAUGGAUCAUUAACGUCUUUUUCUCUUCUAUGAGAAAAUGAAAACGAUAAAAUUCGCACAAUUUGUUUUAUGUGUGUGUAAUUCUAUUCUCAUUAGAGAUGGAAGAAAACUAUAUAUACACAAGACAGAUUGUGUCGUACCCUAAUGUGAAUCUUUGAUAGCCUCAAAAAUGUGUUGGAUUAUUGUCAUUACAAUAAUCUUCAAGCAUCGCCAUUAUUUUGAUGUGCUUAAAAACCUUUCCUUAUAAUAUCAAUUAUCAUUGUUAUUGGAAAUGAAAAUAAAAAUUUUAAAAAAAUAAACAGAAUAUAAUUCUGUACGGUGGAUCACUAGGCUCGUGGAUCGAUGAAGAGCGCAGCAAAGUGCGAGAAAGCAAUGCGAAUUGCAGGACACAUUGAGCAUGAAUAUCUCGAACGCAUCUAGCAGCCAAGGUUCUAUCCGAGGCUACAUUCAGUUCAGUCUUGAUUCAUAAACACAUCAAAUUCUCUCAUUCACACACACAAAGAAAAGUGAUGUUAGAAUUGCUGGCAAGUUCAAUGAAAAAUUUAGCUUGCGACUUUAUUUAAAAAAUGAAUGUUUACAUUCUAUGAACAAGAAUAUCUAUAUAUAGUUAGUGUUACAUUACACAAUUAUAUAUAUAAAUACGAGAAAUCUUUAUCAUAUCCGUGUUUAUAUAUACAUUUGAAUCAAAAUGUGUGUGUUUCAACUAUAUUUAAAAUAGAAAUGAAAUCAUUAUUUGAUUGUUCAAGCUGAACUUGAAUGGGAUUACUCGCUGAACUUAAGCAUAUUAAUAAGCGAAGGAAAAGAAACUAACAAAGAUUGCCCUAGUAAUGGCGAAUGAACCGGCAAAAGCUCAUUGCUGAAACGUGACAGAUUCACUUUUGUCAUGUGUUGUAGCAUUUAGGGUGGCUAUUGCUUGAUACUUGUUUGUCAGAGUUCCUUUGAUCGGGGCUUUAACCAUAGAAGGUGCUAGUCCUAUAUCGGCAAACAAUUCAUCGUGUCAAGCAUUGUUCGCCUUUUGAGUAACGUAGUUUGAGAUUGCUACGUAAACAUGGGUCGUAAACUCGAUCUAAAGCUAAAUAUGUCCACGAGACCGAUAGCGAACAAGUACCGUGAGGGAAAGUUGAAAAGCACUCUGAAGAGAGAGUUAAAUAGUACGUAAAACCGUACAGAAGAAAACGAAUGGCCGCAUUCAUCAGAUUAUUCUGGAUUCAGCUCAUAUACAUGAAAGUAAUGUUUGUCGAGAUUCAUCGAACUUCAACAGUCACUCGACAUUCGUCAAAUUGCUUGUAUUUGAGUGCAUUUUCAGGAUAUUAACUGAACCUGGAUCUAUAAUAUAACGCAGCUAAUCAAAUCAAUCUAUUUUGGUAGCAAAAUAUUCGUAUUUUGUCUUAAAAAUGGAUUUUGAAUCAAUGCGAUAUUUGAUUUGGCAUUAUAGGUAAAUAGACACGCAUUUUAAUUUCAGUAUCCUUUCUUGGGGUACGACAUGCGGUGAGCAUUGUUUGUGUUACAUAGAUGACUAAAUUGUCAAACAAUUUAGCUUUGUUUGUGUUAAUGUUUAAUGUUUCGUCGCUGUCUUGAAAUUGGCAAGUCUUCAGGAGUUAAACGAAUGCCGAGUUAUUCGACCCGUCUUGAAACACGGUCUAAGGAGUUCACUGCAUGUGCAAGAGUUCGGUUCUAUGAAAAACCUUGCUCGCAAUGAAAGUAAAGAACAUUUUGAAUGUUUGAGGUGUGAUUUUUGUCAUUUUGUAAAUUAUGAUAAAACGCAACACUGACAGGUUCUAUUACCGUUGGUAAAGAGCUUAGUAAGAGUAUAUGCAAUGAGACCCGAAAGAUGGUGAACUUAACAAGUACAGAAUGAAGCCAGGGGAAACCCUGGUGGAAGUUCGUAGCGAUUCUGACGUGCAAAUCGAUCGUCAAAUAUUUGUUAGGGGGCGAAAGACUAAUCGAACCAUCUGGUAGCUGGUUCCUUC
rnacentral:misc_RNA from 1 species